UACGGAGGGUGCAAGCGUUAUCCGGAUUCACUGGGUUUAAAGGGUGCGUAGGUGGGCAGGUAAGUCAGUGGUGAAAUCUCCGGGCUUAACCCGGAAACUGCCGUUGAUACUAUUUGUCUUGAAUGUUGUGGAGGUAAGCGGAAUAUGUCAUGUAGCGGUGAAAUGCUUAGAUAUGACAUAGAACACCGAUUGCGAAGGCAGCUUACUACACAAAUAUUGACGCUGAGGCACGAAAGCGUGGGGAUCAAACAGG
rnacentral:rRNA from 1 species